rnacentral:rRNA from 1 species
CUUGGCGACCAUAGCGUUUUGGACCCACCUGAUUCCAUUCCGAACUCAGAAGUGAAACGAAAUAGCGUCGAUGGUAGUGUGGGGUUUCCCCAUGUG